UGGAACCUUAUUGGGUUCCAUUGAGGGUUUCAAUAUUGGGACCACACUGUUUCGUGUUGUGUGGCCCACUUGGGUUUUGUAUCUUCUUCAGUUUUGGGCUAUAACUCGGCUGGUAGAUGUAAUGGAUUUCACAUGGACAUUGUGGGUGGCCCCGCAUACAAUUUGGGAAUGAUUUCCAUGCUCCACAACUUCGUCUUGUUUUCCCAUCUAAAAUCAUUUCAUUGAUAAUCUCACUCACAGACAAACAAAGGAAAUGGUUUUGGAAUUCAUCUUCUUUGUUUUCUCUGCAUUUUAAAGAUUUCAUCUGAUUGAAAAUAACUUGUAUUCAUUGGAAGCAGGGAGAUUUGAAAUCCUAACUUUCGCAUUCGAAAUGACUAUUUUGGGUAGAGCAUGAGAUCUCCAAAUGCUAUCCAUGUGAAUUUCAAUUUCCAUAAUCCAAACAGGCCUAAAAAAGUUUGGACUCAAGGUUGAGGGAAUGAAUGAAAUCCAAUGAGGAAGAACUACCCAAAGAUAGGAAGUGCCGUAUGACACUAAACGUGUGUGAUUUUAAAGGGGUCUCUGAGGAUAUCCCAUUCCAACUUCAACCCGACAUUCCGAUCGCAUGCAUAUGUCCUUCCGUUUUCAUAUAUUACAAUUAGAAUCCUUUUUUGUUGUCCAUGUUCGCAAUCAACGUCUUUCUAUUACUAUAGGAAUGGUUUUAUGUCGUAAACGGAAUCCUAUGAGGAAGAACACCCAUAGAUAGGAAGUGCCGUAUGACACUCCAAGUGUGUGAUUUUAAAUGGGUCUCUGAGGGA